UACGUAGGGUGCAAGCGUUGUCCGGAAUUAUUGGGCGUAAAGAGCUCGUAGGCGGUUUGUCGCGUCUGCUGUGAAAACUCGGGGCUUAACUCCGGGCCUGCAGUGGGUACGGGCAGACUAGAGUGCGGUAGGGGAGACUGGAAUUCCUGGUGUAGCGGUGAAAUGCGCAGAUAUCAGGAGGAACACCGGUGGCGAAGGCGCACAUCUGGCCCGAUACUGACGCUGAGGCGCGAAAGCUAGGGGAGCAAACGGG
rnacentral:rRNA from 1 species